GUAGCGGGCCGGCGUGCUGAGGCUCUGCCGCACCCCGUAGCGCCCCUUGAAACCGUGAGACCACUCGCCGCGGUACAUCCACCUGCCCUUCGUCUCCACGCCCAGCCCGUGGCGCUUGCCCUGCGCCCAGUAGCCCAGGGGAGAGUUGGGCACCAUAACUGAUACUGCUGUUUCUUGUCAUCGUAAGAAGUGUGAGAUUCAAAGCUUUCUUUCUGUGCUGGAAAAGGAUUUCUAGUUCUGCUUGAACAUGUGGAAGACUGUGCACACGUUUGGACACAAACAUAAAAAGAGAAAAAGACACAGUCAAAGACUUGUGUCUUUUCACAAGAAGAUGGAGAAGCUUUCCAUGCCACUUUGAGCCCAGAAAAUUUUGUUCUGUAGUUUUGAAGUGUAGAAAACCAGACAGAAAUGUUGUUUCUCUAAGACAGAGGUGCAGUCUCUCAUGUAUCAUUGGACAAGGCUAUGAAGUGUGCUGAAGUUAAGGACUGAGACCUUCACUGCAAUAUGGUGUUUUUGGAAAGCUGUUAUUGAGAAUGGAGGGGAAGUCUGAAAAUGUUGUGGUGGGUGGGAUUGCUGAAGAAGAUACAGUGCAGUAUUCUCUGAGUAUUGCUUGAGCUUACUGAGUUUUAUGCCCUACGUGUCUUACAUUUCUUCCUCAAGAAAAAAAUUGGAAGCAAUAGUGGUGACAACCCAUGUGCUUUGAGGAGUUUACUAAUUUCAUUCUAUUCAUUUAUUUCCUGUUUUCUUUCUUCCAACAGAAGAUAAAGCCCUGUCAUGUUUGAGCAGAAUUACGGAAGAUUGAAACACUUUAUAUGGUUUGGGGAACCACUUGUUGGAAGUCAGCAUGCAUAAUAGGUGAUACUGGUAUAAAAUUUUCUAGGCAGUGAUGUUGCCUGUUCAUAAGUGCAUGUUAUUAUAUGAGCAGACUUUUUUGAAGUUGUCAUGAUUGAACUGGAGCUGCUGAGCAUUGGGUAUGUCUGUUACAGGGCUGCUGUUACUUUGCACGGUGUUUCUGGGUGCAGUGUGCAGAAAUGAGGUGGAAAGCCAGAAUUGUCUUGACAACAGUUCUGUGCCCUGUGCACAGCUGGAACACAACCAGCACGGAGGGGAGCAGAGGUGGGGUGUGAAAAUGGAUUAGCAAAUGCAGACAGUACACCUUGGCAAUGGAAGAGGUUGGUCUGAUGAGGGAAUGGGAGAUUUACAGCUCCUCUGUGGAUCUCAGCUGUCUCUUUGAAGGACCAGCUGUGCCACUUUCCCUGAUGGCCUAGACAAUAAUCACAGUUGUGCAAGUCCUUUGCCAAGCUGGGUAUCACUUUUGGCUCGGUAUUGGUGAAUAAAUGAAUUUGCUGUUGUAAAGACUUGGGUAAUUACGCUUACUGUACUGUUACUUAGCAAUGAAUUGUUUAUCCUUAAAGCUGUUGAUGUUCUGUCUCUUAGGGUAUCCCAAACGUAUAGCUAAUUGGGGCUGCCUUAGGUUCUUACAUCUGUACAGUAGAAGAUUGCAAAAAUUAAAUAGGCAUCUGCCUAUUAGUCCUCUGGUUUACCCCCUUGAUUUAAAUUUUCCAGGUUUUAAUACUAGAUUAGCUGAACCAACAAGAUCAGGUGGGCCAGAGAUGAUCAGUGAAACUUUCAGAAAGGAAUCAUAUUAUUUUUCUUCUGUUUUCACAUAUGUGUCAGUGGGUCCUUUUUUAGUGACCUGCAAAUCAGUGGUAAUUUUGCAUGUGGUUGGUACUUCCAGGUGUACUUAUUUAAAUGAAGUGAUCAGUUUAAAUGAGCUUGAUUACAACAUGAAUUCAUCACUGCCAGACUUCUCUUCUUUUACUUUUUGCAGGGGAUACAUUUUAAUAGAUAUGAAAAUAGAAGUGCUUUGCAGAGAACUCCCAGCAUCGCUUAGCCAGGUCUGAUGAUGUAAGAAGCCACAGGUGUCUCAUUACUGAUGAAGUUGUAGAUUUAUUAUUUGUUUUUUUGGUUGGGUUUUGGUUUUUUGCAGAUAGAUUUUGCAUUGACGAGUCUCAGCUUCAGUUUAGGCUGCGUCAUAUUUGCUUCUGGCCAUGGUGUAAGUAACACUCAUAUGCAACCUUUAGCAUGUAUAUGUUAAAUACCUUAGAUCCACAGAUUUUGCUUCCUUUGCUUCUUCCCAGAAUUAAAUUAAAAAUUAUUCUACAACUUCAUAGAUGCAGGAAGUAAGCAGUUACAGAUAUAUAAAUGAGUUUCUCUUUUGUCCAAAGUAAAUGGAAUUACUUCCACUACUUUUUUAAUCUAAUUUACAAGAGUUCUUUUCUGAAAUAUUUCAUGCAUGUAACACUCAAAAAAUACAAGGACCAGGUGCAGUUUAUUUAUUAUUUACAAAAGAGUCAUCACAGCACCAGGUCUGAUGACACUAUAUGUAUAUGCAAAACAUGAGUGCCUGAUGACACAGUAUGUAUGCAAAAACUGUGCUGCAGGGUUAUAUUUAAAAAGGUCCUUGCUGUAGGGAUGGUAGAUGCAGCAGGUGAAGACACACUAACUCCAGACAUUUAAUAUUAACUGGAUACAAAACUGCUGAGUUUAAAUUAUUAGUCUAUAGAUAUCUGAUGCAUAAUAAAAAUUAGGCACAUUUAUUCUUGCUCUUAAAAGCCUGAUUCAGCAGGGAAUUACUUUAAGUACUUUAGUAAUCCCAUUUACUUCAGUGGGACUACACAUGAGCUUUAAAUUAAACAUCUGCAAGAUAUCUGUGCUCAAAUAAAGCAAAGCUCUGAAGUCUGUUCUCAAGUGUUUUGCAGAAUGGAGGCAGGAUGUUUCACUGAUGAGCUGCACGCCUCACACGUUGUAUUGGAGGAGUUCACACUCAAAACUGCUGUGUGGGAGGCAGAAAUACAGAAGUAAAGGUAGUACAAAACUCACAGCAUAGAAAUUUCAAAGGCAAAUAGGUCUUUUCUGGCUCCAUAGGAACAGCCACUUUUAUAUCAAAUUUUGUGUCAGGAGUAUGAGUUGGAGUUUUUAAACAUAGUUCUUGUACAACUUUAACACAAAUAAUUUUGUGUGACUUCUAGAACAGGAACAUAACACUUUUUUCUUAUACACCGUAAAUCCAUGUAAGUUAGUGUAAAUACUGAAGCAGUAAUUCCAGAGGAUGUUUUUUUUCAAAAAAUCUGCUAUAAUAUUUGAGCAACACUGUGUUAUGAAUCUGCUCUCCUAGGUGUAUCAGUCAGUUCUGCCUCACAGCUGAAGCUUGGACCUGGUCAGUAAGACAGUAUAUUUAAUUCCAGAGAUAUUGUUCUUACUCAGUGAAUACAGUUAUUAUUUUCUUUGCAAAAGUGCUGAUAAAGCUUAUAAAAAACAAAAAUACAGAUCCUAUUCUAACUUGAAAACAAGAUGAGUAUGUUCUGUACCCAGACUUCUAUUUUCAGCAUUGUUCCAAGCAACUGAAUUAGAUUUGUUAUAAAAAUGCAGUUUACUUUUUUUAAGGAAAUGCAGCAUUUAUGUUGAGCACCUUUGUCUCUGAAGUGAUUUGAACAGUAACAGAAAUCUCUGUUCAGAUAAGGUACAGUGUGUUGAAAUGAUUUUUUUUUCUAAGUAUAAAGAUACUACAAUAUUUUAUUAUAGUGGAAAAAAUAUAUUGUUCCUGGAUCUUGUCAACAUUUGGAGUUGUGUUGAGUUUGGUGUUUUUUAUAUAUAUCUACAGAACAAAAAUUAGUGAAUCACUAUACCUUAAUCAAUUUAUAAAGAAAAAAAAAUCUAAGUCAUUAUGUAUUUUAUUUUAUAAUAUUUGAUAUGAGGAAAAAUGUCAUAUCAGUGAUUACCCUAAAUUAGCAUUCAUAUUAUAUAGGUUAUUGUUAUAGGAGUAUACCUAGAAAAUCAGAUAUAUCCCAAGUAAAUUUUUCCUAAAUGGUGAUAGGAAUUGUGCAACUGCUAUAGUUCAAUCUUGUUUCCUUGGGGAAGAUGGGAAAGGUUUAUGGAUUUCCUCUUUGGAGCAAGUUCCCACUUCUUAAGAUGGCUUGUCUAGUCUUGCUUAAGCAUUUUUCUUUAGCCUAAGGAGGCUCUGUGAUGCAUUAUUUUCUUGUAGUCUUCAUUAUUGUCCCAGUUACUAUUGUCUGGACUUUAUCUAAUUGUGUUUUGUUAUUAGUUGCUAAAGUCUGAUUUCAAAUACAAACCACACUAUUUGGCUAAUAUUGUGUCAUAUUAAAAUAGCAUAAUUCUGUGUGACUCCCAAAAGACAUUAUUCUUUUUACACUGGUGCCAGGAAUCAGUAGUAUGAUGGUUCUGUUCUCUUCCACUCAACAAGACGGUGUGUAAAAAUGCAUCUUCAGUUUGUGAUUUACUGUUGUCCUAAUCCUGUCCCAUAGAACACUGUUUAACUAGUUGCUUCCCACUUUCUAUUAGUGAAGUUGAGUUUCACUUAGCAGGCUUUCACCAGCACACUCUUUUUUUCCACUUUGAGAUUAUACUCCCAAGUUAAGUUAAUUUUCAGUUUUAAUUCCACAGGAAUUGCAGUUCCUCACAAGUUUUUAACAGUUUGCACAUUUGCAUGUGCAAUAACUGAACUUUCCAAGAUCAAGGUUAUUCAUGAAGGUAUUGAAUUUUAAAGCCUUUGGUACAAAUUUAGCAUUUCAUACAUCCUUUAGGCUUGGGACUUAAUAAUUAUUAACCAUUACUUCAUAACUAUAAACAAAGUGUAGUCUCUUACAGCUUGACUUAGAUCACGUUUAACAAACAUCAGCAGCUUUGCUGAAGUCAAAAUACAUAAUAUCUCUUUUAGUGAAGGCUGAAACAGAAAAGCUUUUAGCACUUUGGUUUAUCUCACUGAUGUGGCUGAAAGCUUUUUCUCCUCAUUGAGCAGCGGCACAGCCCUUCCCUUCGCCGUCCUCCUCUAGGGCUGUCUCAGUUUCCUUUUCUGUUCCUUACUAAGACUCAUUCUGUGAUUUGGCCUUUCUGAUUUUGCCCCAACAUACUUGCACUCUUCCCUAAAAUUCCCUUUAGUAAUCUGACCUACUUUUUACUUGUGUAUGCUUCCUUCUAGUGUUUCAGGACCCUUGAAGAGCUCUCGAUUUAGUCAAGUUUUAUCUCAUCAUGCCCAUCUUACUUUCCUUUUUCAUCGAGGUAGUUUCUGUUUAUGCCCUUCACACAAUUUUCACAUUAUAUUCACAUUAUAUUUGCAGAUUUCUGUCUUUGGACUUUAUAAUAAAAUAAAACCUAGUAGAGAGCAAAUCUUAAGUUUGUCUUUUUUACAGGGCAGUCUUGGCAGACAUUGGCUUGAGAUAUUCUCAUGCCCCCAACCCUCUGUGCUGCCAGCACAACUGUUUCUUCAGUGAGCUGUGAUUUGGAUCAGGAAACCAAUCCAGCUUAAAAAUAAUCCAGCAGAAAGAUUUAUUUUUAUUUUGCUCUUAAAGCUGAAUCCUUUGCUCUGUUUGCAGAACAUCUAUGCAAACAAUUGCCCUAAUGCAAUUGAAAGCGUACAGAAAAGCUGGCAGCUUUACUGUUCACCUUGUUUGUUUGUAAUUCCAUUCUCUUUUUCUAGGAAUUACAAAUAACAUUUUCCCCAUAAUCUUUCACCCAAGUUCCCCUCAGUCUUGCACUUUCAGUCAGUUUGCCUGCUGUUGAUUAAAAAAGAAGAGAUAUUCCAGAUUUGAUGUAGUCACAUAUCUGCUCAGUAACAAAACUUUUCUCUGUACAACGGUCUUCCAGUACCUGAGGGAAGGCUACAAGAAGCAUGGAGACUACAUAAAAGAGUAUGUAGUGACAGGCCAAGGGGGAAUGGCUUCAAACUGAAAGAAAGUAGCUUUAAGUUAGAUAUAGGAAGAAAUUAUUUACUGUGAGGUGGGUGAGGCACUGGAACAGGUUGCCCAGAGGAGCUGUGGGCUCCCCGUCCUGAGAAAUGUUCAAGGCCAAGUUGGAAGUGGCUCUGAACAACCUGGUCUAGUGGAAUGUGCCCCUGCCCAUGGCAGGGAUGUUGGAACUGGGUGGUCUUUUAAGGACCCUUCCAACCCAAGCCAUUCUAUGAUUUUGUACUAUAAUGAUCCUGUAGGACCUUCCCAACAGGUCCCUUGGUUGUUGAAGUCCCCCAUGUUCAUCCUGUUCAGUGCUUUGAUGAUCUAGCAGCAGCACCCAAAGCUCCUGAGUCCUGCAUUGCCAUGUCCUACAGAUUUUCAAGGUGCCUGAGGAGGACCAAAACCUGAUUGAAGCUUUUCUAAUUGUCUGGAGGAUUCAUAUUAACUCUCACAUCAGAUAAGAAUUUGGGUUGUUAAAUGUUUAUUUGUUAGUGAUGUGCAAAGCCCCUCUUUUGCCUGAAUCUGUACUUUGUGGCUUUCCUAUUUUUAAGUUGUAGAAAUAGCAUUAUUUUGAGAUCUUAAUUUCUCUAGUAAUUUUCAUGUAAAUUAGCUAGUGAAUGAAAUCAUUUUCAUACAUGCUGCUAUAAUACCUUAGGAAACAAAAGUUCAGUGGCCUUCCUGCUCACCAUAGUGCUAUUUUUCUGAAUACCUCUAUUGAGAGUUCUAUACCACUUAUAUCUUCCCAGAAAUCUAGGCUUUUUGCCAUGUUUUAGGCCACUUAUUAAUUUAAAAUCCUCCUUUAUUAGUUAGCAUUUUCAUCACCAGUGAUUACAGACCUUCAGAGAGCUCUGGUGAAGAGAAUUCCUUCACCAGACAGACAACUCCACAGUGUUUCUGUCUCAUGUGACUCCAGUGAAGGAGACCAGAGCUGUGCAGGUCACACCAGGAGACCUUUGCAAUGGUGAGUACUCCUCAAAGAAGGCAGCCAUCCCAGCUUCCAUAGGGAUCACAGUUCUUCAGCUACUCCCUGGAGCUUGCAGUUCCUUAUGAUCUGCCUUGAUUUUAUCAGCUAAAUUUUAUCAGGCAUAAGGAUGAGGCCAUAUGUCUGUCUGCAUUCACUAAUUUUGUCUUAACACGGGAUGCCUUGUGAAUUUCUUUGUUUUUUUUCUUAUAAAAAUUGAUUUUUUAAAAAAUUGAGUGGUGAUAAAUUAAUGUUAAAAUUGCAAUUAGAUAUGAUAUUUCUAAUUUUAAAAGACCUUUUGAAGGUUUUGGCUGAUGUCACACUCCUGUUUUGCUGUACUGGAUCAGAACAAGCAACUGUUGCAUUUCACCAAUGAAUUAGUGUUGGUGCUUCUUAUACAUCAGAUAAUUGGUUCUUCUGAGUGAAUCCAUUUGCAAAAUUAAAUGAAAAUCACUGUCAUUCUAAAUAUGACAGUGUUUUGGGUUUGUUGGUGGUUGUUUUGUUUUUGGUUUUAUGGGGUUUUUUCUUUUUUUUUUCUUCAAUUUAUGAUGGAGAAAACAAGACAAAUGGUACCAGAGGUGCAAAAGCUGAGAGGUUUUUUUGCUGUUCAAUACUGAAUGUAAUAUGGAUAUUUUGGGUACAGUACAGUCACUUUUGAGAUAUGUUUCCAUUAACAAAGUCUACAACAGAGGAAUUGAGCUUUAGAGGACAUUACCAUAGGGCUAAGCAGGCUGUGCCGCAAAGACCAUUAAUAGAAAGCCACUCCCUCAAUCUGCUUAAACUUUGGUGAGGAUAAUGCGGCUUACUCUAACUGAUUUUUGAUAAAACAGUAAAAGACAAACAGAUGCUUGUUAUGCCUGAGUUGAGAAGUGCACCCAAUUGAUAAGUUUCACCUGCUUCUUCAGGGAUAUUUAUGCCAUGGAAGAAAAUUUUUCUCACCACAGCUAACAUACAAGUCAAAUAUCUUAAUGUGUUUUGAUAUUUAAGUUUAUAUAAAAGAAUACAGCAAGGGUUAGUGCAUCAUAAUCAGCCUAACCACUGAAUUAAAUCUCCCAGCUGCUAUGAGAUUUCAUUUAUUCUUCAUUUGCUUCUCUUCUGUUGGCCAUUUCAGUGUUUGUGACAUAAUGUCAUGAUGUUUUUAUAUGAUGAAGUAACCCUUUCCCUGUGUGGAUUACAGUAUCAGCCCCCUCUGCAUCUUGAAAACUGGCUUCUUAACAAGUGCACUUAUCUGUAAUACCACAUUGGUGCAAAAUGGUUUUCUAUUUGUCCACUGAAAUUCCACUUAAAAAUUAGAUUCUGCACUUUGGAAGACACAAACAACAAUGCAGAAUUUUGAAUAUCUGUCUCUGUGUUGUGCAGGUGCAGAACCAUUUUUAUGCUCUUGGUGAAUUCACAUGAAUUCGUGUUUGCAGCUCUGCAUGUGAAUAAGUUAUGUAUAUCUGUGUUAUGUGUUUCUGGCAAGUACAAGAUAGGCAUUGGAUAAAUUAGUGUUUGCAGUAUUUUUUCCUAAAAACAAACUGUAUGAUUUGGAGAAUUUUAAGCCUUAAGUUUUGUUUAAAGGUAAUCUCUUCCUCUUUUUUUAAUCUCGGUGGAGUCUAAACCAGAUUUUGUGUCUUUGUAUGUACUUUGAGAUUUUUGUAUGUACUUUGAUUUUUAUCAAAAUAUUCUUUAGAAACUGCUGUUGUCAUAGUAAGUAAAAUAUUUUUAUGUAGAAGUUUAUGAUCUUGUACAAAAGGUCCUUUAUGAAAAAUUAUCCAUUAUUUGAGUUUUUGUAAAUCACCUAUACUUUGUAUUAAGUAUGUAAUGGUGGAAUUUAGUCUAAGAUUUCUGCAGAAUAUAAAAAUAUCUCUGACAGUGUCUGUUCUAAUCAUGGAAUGUAUGUCUUCCUAAUAACAGUGUAUUUGAAAAACAAUUAUAUGAUGUUCUCUUAUGUCUGAAUGCAUAAUGAAUGUAAUUGACUUACAGAAUUAUAAUUUGUUUUUAGUUAGGCAUGUAUUCAUCACUGAAUCGUUCACUUGUAGGUAUGCCUAAAAUCACCAUUGUGGAGAUCACCUUAGUUUCUGUUUUAGGUUGUUAAUUAAAAAAGUUGUCACUGACCUGCAUGGUAUUUCAUUAUGUUAGGUACAAAGUAUUUGUUUAUGUUUGGUACAAUUUUUUUUUCAGCCGAUAUGAGAAGUAAAAUUGAUUUUGAAGUUGUCUUAUUUCAUGUGAUAAUAGCAGAAAUUAUGUUAGUUCACCCACAGUUAUCUAUCUGCUAUUUUUGCUUAUAAGGAGUUCUGCCCUGAAAAAAAAAAAAUUAACAGAGCUGGAGGACUAUUUCUGCGAUACAACAUGCUAAAGUUAGAAACUGAGAGUUGCAGUUUUGUCUUCACUUGUAAAGGGAUAUAGUUUUGUUUUUAUGUAAAUUUGAGACUGCAUUUUCUGUCUAACGAAACUGUAAAUCAGAUUUUAUUUUUACCAGCUGAUUGCAUAUUUGCAAAAUUGGGCCAAAUUAAAUAUUUUAAAAAUUUCAGCCAGUUUUGAAAAUUUAUGAUGUCAGGGUGUUCUUACCUUAAAUUUCAGUAACCAGAAAGGGAAUGAAUCUGGCACCGUGCAACUUUGUGAUUCUCUAGUUCUAGAGCUGAAAAUGAUUUGUGUAGGUUUAAUGGACAAAAAAAAAAAAAAAAAGAAAAGGUGAUCUUUUCUGUGCCAUUUGGUGUCAGUGGCAUGUUUCUAGAUUAAAAAAAAUUGUGUGAAAAAUGUGCAUGUUAUUUUAAUCAGAAAUUUUGUUGUGUUUUUCACGUGUUUGGGUUUUUAAAAUUUUUCCUCCUUUCUCUUACAAAGUCUAGCACAGAUAGGUUGGGUUUAAUCAAUGACUGGAAGUGCCUGGCUCAUUCUUCUGGCUAUUGAGUGAGUUUCAGUUUGUAAACUAAUUUGCCUGAUUUUGGAAGAGGUGCACAUUUGCUUUAACAAUUGUACAAUUGCUACAUGCACAAUUGCUUUAACAAAUACAGUAUUUUCCCCUCUACUUUCACAGUUUUUGAGACACACAGCUGCUGUCCACAUUUGGAAGAGCUGUGCAGAGCUGGAGCCUACUGUGUUGCCAUGUCCUGAGUUAAGAGUUCAUUUAUGGGGACAAAUAAGCUUGUGCCCCCAUAAUAAUUUGAAUUAUUUUAUGAGAUGUCUGACAUGGAGUGAGAUUUCAAGGAGUCUAAUUGAAAUAUUUUGCAUGUUACUCUCCAGCUUGCACAAAAGUAAUGAGCAAACAGCAAGAACUAAAGCUGAAGAAACCAGAAUUUCCUUUUUUAAAUAACAGCUGUAUUUCUAUGUUGUCACCGUGAUUGGAAAUGGAUCUUCCUUAGUGACCCCUAUUUUUUUACUUGUCAAUAACAAGGUGUGGAAGUACGUGAUUAUGUUUUAAAGCAUCUUAGAGCUAUUUUUCUGAGCAGUUUGCUGGAAAAAGAUUAAAUGUUUAAACUUAUUUACAAAUUAAUUUAUCAAAGUGUUCACAUUUCCAGUAGAAAUUGUAACAAGAUUUUUAGAAAUUUUUGAAAAUUGUUUAAGUUUGGGUUUGUUUCAGGGAUGGAAAUAAACUGAUUUCUAUAAUUUUUCAGGAAAUAUUAUAAAACUGUUUUGCAGUCAAAAAUGGAAAUACCAUGAGACUUCAGAGGACAUUUUACAAAAUUGUAUUUAACUCCUUAGGUUUUCUUAAGGCUUUCUGUGUUUGGGUGUCAUCCAGUUACUGGAUAUUUAUAUUUUACAGUGUGAUGGUAAUAGAAUCUGAACUGGCCUAAGAGCUGGUACAGGGCCCACUGAAGCCAGUACAAAUCACCUCUCUAACUUUGGUGGACUUUGCUUCAGCAUCUGUCCAAUCUAUUUUACAAGGUCAGAGUUGAGCACUCUGGUUUUGGCCACAGGCAAUAAUAGGUGGAAGCUGGAAUAUUUCUUACAUUCAUUGUUUGUGUUGUGGUAAUAUGUGAAUUUUAAUGGGCAACCAAAAGCCAAUGUGCCAGACAGUGCUGUGCAAACAAAAUGUCAUCACUGUUAGAUUAAAACCAGAAUAAAUAUCAACACCUGGAUGGUAUGCACAGGGGUACAAAGUUUUCACUGUUGUGGGUGACUUGUCUAAGUUAGUGUGAGGGAAGAAGAAACAUGUGAAGUGAUGACACAGAAUUGUUCCUAAAAGCUUGGUAAUGAUCCAGGUUUGUGAGCCAGCAUAUUACACAUGUGCACAGAGACAACAAACGUGGGCAAGUAUAAAAAAAGUUUUAAAUAGUUUGAAUUUGGCCGAUAUGUUAGAUUUUAUAGUAAAGAUGCUGUUUACAUAAAAGCUUGAGGAGGGAUAGACUCGAUAAAGCUUUAGUGUUAAUACCUGGAUUUUAAGGUUUAUGACUAAGAAACUGCAUUUUUUUCACCUUAUGAAAAUAUAUUAAAUCUCUUUCUGUGUGUGCAUUAAAAACCUUAUAUUUCAGGAAAAUUCAUUCUAAUCAAAACUGUUGAGAUUUAUAAAUCAUGUAUGAUGUGUUAAGUAACUUUGAAAAUGACUAAAUAAAUUCUAUUAUAAGUUGAUUUUGUUGGAUGUAAAAUGGUAACUGACAAAUUAUAUUUCUUGAGAACAUGAAUCAGCUAUCUACAAUUGCCACCACUCCAUGGUUUUAUAUGCAGUUAAAUUAGGGCACAGUCUCAACUGUGACUAUCAAGACAUAAUGCUGCUCUCACUCUUUCUAUAUAGUUGCAUAUCUAAUUUUUCGGUCAUGUUAAAGAAAGUUCUUGUGCAUUCUUAUGUCAGUAUUAAGUCUCAGCUGUGUACCUGAGUUCAGUGCUAUGUUGUUUUGACUCAUAUCAUCAUCAGUAAAGCAGCAUCUGCCAGUGGAAUUUAAUCAAUAACCAUUGAUGACAGAAGGUCCAGAACAGAACCUGCCUUACUUUUCCAACAAGUAUUAACUCCUGCAACACUGUCAAUUAGGCUGGCUCUGCACUUGGAACUGAACCAAUGUGUCUGUUAAUGAUUCAUAAACAGAAUCCAGCUAAUUUUCAGCUAUAAUGGCUCUUGGCUGCAUAGAAAAAAAAAAAAAUUCCCCCCCCUGUAGUCUAAUAUGUUUGGGUUUCAAUAGGCUCAAUGAAUUGAUCUGAUCAGGAAAAAAAACAGUUGCUUUUUUUUAACUUGCAUCAAUUACUUUAAUGACACAUCUGACCUAUGUGUUUCCUGUUAAUAACAUGGAGUGAAGGGUGAAGUAAAGAAGAAAACUGAUUACCAGAAUUCUGAUUUCCAGAUCUUUCACCCAUUUUAUAUAACUGUUUAUAACUGUUUAUCAAAAUGUUUUUAUUUUUUAGCGUUAGCUGUAAAUGUUAUUUUCCUUCCAUGAUAUAAAAAUAUGUGCAUUAAAAAAAAACUUCUAGAGGGGCGUGCAUAUAUGCAUAUAUUUUUGUAAACAUAUAUAGGAUGCCAAAAAAGGCCCAAGAGAGGCCAUGCAGAGAAACAGGGCAAGAACAUCAGUGUGAUAGGAAAAAUUAUUUAUCUCACAGAUCUGAGGGUCUGCUUGAAGCCACAAGUUGCCAAGAUGCCAGUCAGAUUUGCAUUUGUGCUUUUUGUGUAUUUAUGGCCCAAAUUAAACAUGCCUUAAGGAGACUUUUAUUUCGGUUGUGUAAAUGCUUGUGGAACAAGGUGUUCCAGGUUGUGGUGAGCUUUUUCAUAUGCUGGCCCUUUUGCUUGCUUUUCUGUGGGUAUGAGAAAGGUAGAAGGGCAAACAUAGGUGGAUGGAUAGGUGCUGGUUCUGAAGAGAAAGGAAUUGUUCGUCCCUUUUUCUUCAUCUCUGGAAGAAGGAAGGUUCUAUGCAGCGUGUUUGGGAAAAGGGAGGCCUCGUGUGGCCAGGCCUGGGAACGGCGCUGUCGGCCUGGAGGGGUCCCGGCCGCAGGCAGCCGCUCCUUCAGCGGAACCAGGGCUAUAAACAUGGACAUCGGGGUGGUAUUUAUCAGGGAAUCAUAGAAUGGCCUAGGGUGGAAGGGACCUUACAGAUCAUCCACUUCCAACACCCCUGCCAUGGGCAGGGACACCUUCACUAGGCCAGGUUGUUCAGAGCCACUUCCAAUGUGGCCUUAACAUUUCUUGGGAUGGAGAACCACAGCUUCUCUGGGCAGCCUGUUCCAGUGCCUCACCACCCUCACAGUAAAGAAUCUCAUCCUAAUAUCUAAUCUACUUUCUUUCAGUUUGAAGCCAUUCCCCUUUGUCCUGUCACUCCAAGCUCUUGUAAAAAGUCCCUCUUAGUCUUUCCAGUAGACUCCCUUCAGGUACUGAAGGCCAUCAUUUGGCAGCCUGUAAGCCUUCUUUUUUCCAGGGUGAACAAUCCUAAUCCUCCUAGUGUUUCCUCAUAAGAGAGGUGCUCCAUCCCCAAAUCAUCUGGUCCUCUGGACCUGCUCCAACUGGUCAGUAUUUUUCUGUAUUUCACAGCAAUAUGGAUGACUAGGUUAGGAGGAAGGAUCGCCUGUAUGUGAUUGCAGCUCUUUGGUCCUUCUUUCUUUAUUGUGUUAUAAGAUAGAUACAUUUCCUUGCCUUUCUAGACAUGUAAACCAUGUAAAAAAAUCAAACACAGAAGUACAUGUGUGAUAUUAAAUAAAUUAACUGUACCAAGAGAAGCAGGGUAGUGGUCUAUAUGGUAAUUGAUGAAAGGACAACACAACAUUUUGAUUAAAAGGCAAAAUGAACAAAAAAAAAAAAGCAAAGCGGACACCUGAAAGAGUGCCUAGUUCAUGUAAAUUUUAUAAAGUUCUUUCCCUUGAGUUACUGUAAAAUCUAGUUGUGAGGAACAGCUGUACAGCAGCCUAGGCAGGGAUCUAUGAAAUUAUCCAUUUAUUGGUGAGUCACAGGGUAAAGCCCUUGUGCAUGGGACGAUGUUCCAGCACUCUUACCUUAGACAUGUAUCUUAAAGAGAAGUAAAUCCAGCCAUAAGGCCAUCAACUGCAUUCUUGUGGUCAGUUCUAAGCACAUUCUCCAACUUUUUGAAGAAUAACAAUCAAAUUAAAUUCCCCCAAAUGUGGGAUUUGCCAUCAGUAACACUGAUUGAUAUCAGCUGGGAUUUGUGAGAAGCCUCUCACCAGGCAUAACCUUCUGAAGAGAUUAUUUUGGCUUGUGACUCUAGCAGGGAGUGGUCUCUGAGGAAGGCGUGGGCCUGCCCUUGUGCCCACUCCCAUGAUCAGUACAGGGCUGGAAGCUGGCUUUUUGUUUCUUCCUUUUUAUUUAUGAAGUUUGUCCAUUACCGUGUCUCAGUGACUUAAAUCCAUUCCCUUGCUCAACAUUAGUAAAAAUUUCCCUUAAUGUUCUUGUUAUUGGGAUACAGCUCUCAAUGUACUAGGUUCAGGUCUUUAAGAUACUGAUCAUGAGGUUCACCUGUUAUCCAGAAAUGGCACGUGGGACUGAGUUAUCAGGCUUACCUGAAAGAGUUGCCUUUUCUGGGAACUGAGCAGUCAGAAUGAAGAUAACAAUACUCUGCACUCUGUAAUCUCACUGUGCUUUUUAACUCUGCUAAAAUCUGCCUGCUGUUGCUGAUAGUGUCUAAUGUAUGAUCAGCAAUCACAUUUCUAAACUAUCUCCAGUGUAAGAUACAGAAGAGGCAUUUCCUGAUGAUGUAAGCCAUUGUUCACUAUCAAAUACUUUUCCAAAAGGUCCUUGCUUCACACAGGGAAAAUGAAAAAAGCCCUGCAAAACUGUUAGAUUUUCUAAUUUUGCCUAGAAAAAGAUAAUAAUUAAGAAACUUUCUCUCUUGAGAGUGAAAAAAGUUAUUUGAAAGCUUUGUUUCUUCUUGUUAUGAUUCAUUUUGCAAUUGAGGAUAUAUGCCCGCAAGGUCCAAUUCAGGAUGACUUAUGGGUGGGUUUUUUUGGUGUUUUUUGGUUGUAUUUUUUGUUGGUUGCCUUUUUU